rnacentral:rRNA from 13 species
UAUCGGUUAAAUUCCCAUCGAUAUGGUGGGUAAGGCUGAUAGAACGGUUGUACUAGAGAGUGAGAGAGGAUACGGGAAUUUCGAGUGGAGAAGUUAAAUUCUUAGAUAUUCGAAGGAAGGCCAACUGCGAAGGCACAUAUCUGGCUCAUUUCUGACACUGAGGCGCGAAGGCGUGGGGAGCGAAGCCGAUUAGAUACCGGCGUAGUCC